UACGAACCGUACAAACGUUAUUCGGAAUCACUGGGCUUAAAGGGUGCGUAGGCGGCCAUGUAAGUGAGGUGUGAAAUCCCUCGGCUCAACCGAGGAACUGCGCUUCAUACUGCAUGGCUUGAGGGAGACAGGGGUAAGCGGAACUGAUGGUGGAGCGGUGAAAUGCGUUGAUAUCAUCAGGAACACCGGUGGCGAAAGCGGCUUACUGGGUCUCUUCUGACGCUGAGGUACGAAAGCGUGGGGAGCAAACAGG
rnacentral:rRNA from 1 species